AUUGAACGCUGGCGGCAUGCCUAACACAUGCAAGUCGAACGGCAGCACGCUGUGUAGCAAUACACAUGGGUGGCGAGUGGCGGACGGGUGAGUAGAAAGUAGGGAUCUGCCUUGUAGAUUGGGAUAACUUGGGGAAACUCGAGCUAAUACCGGAUAAGCACUAAGGUGGAAAGCAUGGGACCGAAAGGCCAUGCGCUAUAAGAUGAACCUACGUCGGAUUAGCUAGUUGGUUAGGUAAAGGCUGACCAAGGCGAAGAUCCGUAGCUGGUCUGAGAGGAUGAUCAGCCACACUGGGACUGAGACACGGCCCAGACUCCUACGGGAGGCAGCAGUGGGGAAUAUUGGACAAUGGGGGAAACCCUGAUCCAGCGAUGCCGCGUGUGCGAAGAAGGCCUGCGGGUUGUAAAGCACUUUAGUUGGGGAAGAAAGUUCAAGAGUCGAAUAGGCUUUUGAUUUGACGUUACCCAAAGAAUAAGCACCGGCUAACUCUGUGCCAGCAGCCGCGGUAAUACAGAGGGUGCGAGCGUUAAUCGGAAUUACUGGGCGUAAAGGGCGCGUAGGCGGUUAUGUAAGUUAGAUGUGAAAUCCCCGGGCUUAACCUGGGAAUGGCAUUUAAUACUGUAUGACUAGAGUAGAGUAGAGGGAAGUGGAAUUUCCGGUGUAGCGGUGAAAUGCGUAGAUAUCGGAAAGAACACCAGUGGCGAAGGCGGCUUCCUGGACUCAUACUGACGUUGAGGCGCGAAAGCGUGGGUAGCAAACAGGAUUAGAUACCCUGGUAG
rnacentral:rRNA from 1 species